UACGUAGGUGGCGAGCGUUGUCCGGAUUUACUGGGCGUAAAGCGCGCGCAGGCGGUCCGGUAAGUCUCCGGUGAAAUCGCCCGGCUCAACUGGGCGGGUGCCGGGGAGACUGGCGGACUUGAGGAGCCUAGAGGCCGGUGGAACUCCCGGUGUAGUGGUGAAAUGCGUAGAGAUCGGAAAGAACACCAACGGCGAAAGCACUCUGCUGGGCCGACACUGACACUGAGAGACGAAAGCUAGGGGAGCGAAUGGG
rnacentral:rRNA from 1 species